rnacentral:tRNA from 1 species
GGUGGCUCAGUGGUAGAGCACUUGCCUCACAUGCAUGAGGUCCUGGGUUCGAUUCCUCAGCACCA